UGUGCAGCUCUGUCCUCAGUUCUCAGUUCAAACUCCAACAAUCUGAGAGAUCUGAAACUGAGUCACAAUAAGCUGCAGGAUUCAGGAGUGAAGCUGCUCUCUGCUGCACUGAAGAAUCCACACUGUACACUGGAGAUACUGGGGUUGGUGAGAUGCUCUAUUACAGAUGAAGGUUUUAUAUCUCUGGCUUCAGCUCUGAGAUCAAACUCCUCAUCACUCCUGAAACAUCUGAGUCUGAACCUCAAUAAACCAGGAGAAUCAGGAGUGAAGCUUCUCACUGAUCUACAGAAGGAUCCUCACUGUAAACUGGAGACACUAGAUAUGUAGUAACAAAGUCCUCCAGCCCGUGUGUUGCAGCUCGUAUCCAGAUGAAAAUGUUUCCUUCAUUGGAAAGCUGAAGCUCCACCAUGAGCAGAACAGAGAUCAGAAGCUCCACAUCCCUUCAAUCUUCUAGUGACAGUCUGUCCAGUAACUGCAAUCUUAGAUGGAAAGAGUCUUUGACUCAGGUCCACAUGCAGUUCCCAGUCCCUGGCUAUGCUCAGUGUACAUAAGUCUGCUGGUUUUCCUCUUCCUAAAGGAUGUGAACUGUGGGAAGGUAGUCUGGACAUUAAGGGGGGCGGCACUGGUUGUGACUCUCUUUUGCUCGAGUGCUAAGGCGGAGCUCCUCAGCACUUGGUUAUGGCGUCAGGUGGAUCUACCUUGAGUUAAGCUGUUCUUGGAACCCACCAGGAUGUGUUUGAGUGUUGGAUGUAGACGGCAGUUCCAGAUUCACUCUUGUACCAGAAUGAAUAAAUUUUACUCCUGCAUUAGAGGAAACGUCUUUAAUGUGUCACUUAGAGUUUAAAUGUGAAGAUUUUAUUCAGGAAUGACUUACUGAGUUUGGUAAUCAGUUCUAUGAUUAAAGAUAAGCUAUAAGCUAAACUAAAGCUAACAUGAUUGUAAGGAUUGUUCUAUUUUAUUUAGUUAGAAUAUGGAAAUAAAGCUGAUGAUUUUCUGUAUCUAUGAUGUAAACAUAGUUUGAACAGGUUCAUUAGAGCGAGUAAGGAGCAGUUUUACUACAGUGUUCAGCUAUUUCUUUAUAUUUAAGUUCAUUAAACUAUAAACUUUUAUUUUGUAAUGUUAGUUUUUAAUGAAAGUCAAUUGUCCAUACCAGAUUUACUAAAACUAAAAGGAGGUGAAUUAAGAACAUAAUGACGUUUAUAUGACAUUUAUAUACAGUGAGGAAAAAACUACUUUACAUCUAAACACCCGACAUUUGAACUUUGUACUGAUCAAUAACAAAUAUCAUUUCAUUACAUUUUCAUGUUUAUUAUUGUGUUCAUCUGGUCACAAUGCAGAGACACCCGGACAGUACACCAGUCCACUGUGGGAUCUCGGCCACGCCCCUCAGACAGAGCCAAUAAAGUCAUGAACUGUA